CCUACGGGAGGCAGCAUUGAGGAAUAUUGGUCAAUGGCCGGAAGGCUGAACAAGCCAAGCCGCGUGAAGGACGAAGGUGCCAAGCAUUGUAAACUUCUUUUGUAAAGGGACAAAAUCAGGCUCGAGAGCCUGACCGAGGGUACUUGAAGAAAAAGCAGCGGCUAACUCCGUGCCAGCAGACGCGGUAAUAACGAGGAUGCGAGCGUUAUCCGGAUAUAUUUGGUUUAAAGGGUGCGUCGGCGGGCUGUUAAGUCAGCGGUAAAAGCUCGGGGCUCAACCCCGUCGAGCCGUUGAACCUGGUUGUCUUGAGAUGUCGAGAGGUAUGCGGAAUGCGCAGUGUACGGGUGAAAUGCUUAGAUAUUGCGCAGAACUCCGAUUGCGAAGGCAGCAUACCGGCGGCGAUCUGACGCUGAGGCACGAAAGCGUGGGUAUCGAACAGGAUUAGAUACCCGAGUAGUC
rnacentral:rRNA from 1 species